CCUACGGGUGGCUGCAGUGGGGAAUAUUGGACAAUGGGCGCAAGCCUGAUCCAGCCAUGCCGCGUGGGGGAUGAAGGCCUUCGGGUCGUAAACCCCUUUUCUGAGAGAAGAACAUCCCGGAUAGGAAAUGAUCCGGGCUUGACGGUAUCUCAGGAAUAAGCAACGGCUAACUCCGUGCCAGCAGCCGCGGUAAUACGGAGGUUGCAAGCGUUGUUCGGAAUUACUGGGCGUAAAGGGAGCGCAGGCGGCCAGGUAAGUCUGAAGUGAAAUCCCGGGGCUCAACCCCGGAAGUGCUUUGGAUACUGCCCGGCUUGAGUGUGUGAUAGGAGAGCGGAAUUCCAGGUGUAGCGGUGAAAUGCGUAGAUAUCUGGAGGAACACCCGUGGCGAAAGCGGCUCUCUGGCACAACACUGACGCUGAGGCUCGAAAGCGUGGGGAGCGAACGGGAUUAGAUACCCCUGUAGUC
rnacentral:rRNA from 1 species